CAUGGCUCAGAUUGAACGCUGGCGGCAGGCUUAACACAUGCAAGUCGAACGGUAACAUAAAGAAGCUUGCUUCUUUGAUGACGAGUGGCGGACGGGUGAGUAAUGCUUGGGAAUCUAGCUUAUGGAGGGGGAUAACUACGGGAAACUGUAGCUAAUACCGCGUAGAAUCGGGAGAUGAAAGUGUGGGACCUUCGGGCCACAUGCCAUAGGAUGAGCCCAAGUGGGAUUAGGUAGUUGGUGAGGUAAAGGCUCACCAAGCCGACGAUCUCUAGCUGGUCUGAGAGGAUGACCAGCCACACUGGGACUGAGACACGGCCCAGACUCCUACGG
rnacentral:rRNA from 1 species